GGCAUCAAGGUACACAUGAAAAUCUAUCUGUUACCAUUGAUUUAUUCUCUCCUAUUUCUUCUUUGGCUCUGGAAUCUUUAUGCAACUCUGACUGCAUGAGAAUUUCAAAGGUUAUUCUUUCUGAUGCCAAUGUGCCGGGUGAGGGGGAUCACAAGAUAAUGUUGUACAUUCGCUUGCAAAGAAAUCUACCAGGGUUUGACCUGAAUACACAGCAUUGCUUGUAUGGGUUGGAUGCUGACUUGAUCAUGCUAGCACUAGCUACACAUGAAGUGCAUUUUUCAAUUCUUAGAGAGGUUGGUAUGUAAGGCUUCAAGAGCUUUUCUCUAAGAGUACAAGUAUAUGCAAAAUAACAAUCCACUUAGAUAUGCUUGGUCCUUGAGAAACCAGAUUAUUUGCAAUAUGGAUGGAGCUUGACUGUCACACAGUGAAGAGUUUGAUAUCUAGCUCUCUUCUUAAAUGUAUUUCUUGUUGUUUUCUUUUUUUCAUGAUUGUCCCUGGUUAGAACAAGGCCUUAACCUGGACAGUUGCAAUAUCUGAUCUGUAAUUAUUAUUUUUUGGCUAUGGCAUUCCAUGGCGGGGCCCAAUGGAUGGCCGAAAGGGAUCUUAAAGAGGCACAAGAGUGUCUCUCUAGGAGUUCUAUAUAUCCUGGAUAUUAUAAUCUAGAGACACGAGAACCUUCCUAGAACAAGCUAUCCAUACCCUUGUACUCACAUCUUUGCACUCUUGAACUUGUCCUCUUGAGAAUGUUUUUGUGAGGCAUAUGGAUGUCCACACUGAGAUUUGUUCAACACUUGGAUGUGCAAAUAUUUCUAGUGAAUUUUGGAUCCAUCUAAAGAAAAAUAGGUCCAAUCAUUCUAGUUUUGGGACCUCUCUUGGAUUUGUAUGGUUCUAAAGAAUUGCAUUGUUAAGGUUAUGCUCCCAUUCGGUUGAUUGCUCCAAAAAUAGAAAUUAUAAGAAAAAUGGUCUAUAAUUAGAUUAUCGGAAUCGUCUGGUUGGUCAGGAUUCUGCACUGCAGCCUGCAAAGAGUUUGAUUCCUUCAUUGUUCAUUGUAGACCUGCAACAACUUGUUGUAUAUGAUCUUUCUUCAAACGCAAAAUUCUAUUUAUCUGCAAACUAACCAAGUUAUCUUUAGGUUGAUUUUAUGGGUUUAUGGGAUGGGUGGAUGGAUGGGUUGCAUUGAUGAAGCCAAGACUAUGAACUUGCAUGCCUGUUACUUGCUACAUUUAUUCCUUUUACUGAAAGUUUUAUGUUGCUUGAAGUCAAAUGUGUGAUAUAUUCUUAUUCAUGACCAGGGAAGUGGAUCCGUGUACCAGUGAGCGGAGGAUCCUAUUUCACACCCAAUAUGUAAGCUAUGUAACUUCCUGACUAUGUUGCACUGAUGAUUCAUUCCAGGAUACACAGCACAAUUCAUCCCCACCACAUCAGUAUUAAAAGUAGUUAUUUUAGUUAGGAAAUUAAGAAUAAAAAAUCCCUAAGAGUCAUUGACACAUACAAUGCUUUUUGAAUUUGAUGGUUGAGUUAGAUGGAAUUGGUAUGACUUAACUUCAGUUUUCAGUUACGGGCUGGUAUUUUUGACAGUCUAAACCAUCACUUGAAAGAG